GACGAACGCUGGCGGCGUGCUUAACACAUGCAAGUCGAACGGCAAGGCCCUUCGGGGUACACGAGUGGCGAACGGGUGAGUAACACGUGGGUGAUCUGCCCUGCACUUCGGGAUAAGCCUGGGAAACUGGGUCUAAUACCGGAUAGGACCCUGGGAUGCAUGUCCUGGGGUGGAAAGCUUUUGCGGUGUGGGAUGGGCCGGCGGCCUAUCAGCUUGUUGGUGGGGUGAUGGCCUACCAAGGCGACGACGGGUAGCCGGCCUGAGAGGGUGACCGGCCACACUGGGACUGAGAUACGGCCCAGACUCCUACGGGAGGCAGCAGUGGGGAAUAUUGCACAAUGGGCGCAAGCCUGAUGCAGCGACGCCGCGUGAGGGAUGACGGCCUUCGGGUUGUAAACCUCUUUCAGCACCGACGAAGCGCAAGUGACGGUAGGUGCAGAAGAAGGACCGGCCAACUACGUGCCAGCAGCCGCCGUAA
rnacentral:rRNA from 1 species